rnacentral:rRNA from 1 species
AGUGAACGCUGGCGGUAGGCCUAACACAUGCAAGUCGAACGGCAGCACAGUAAGAGCUUGCUCUUACGGGUGGCGCGUGGCGGACGGGUGAGGAAUACAUCGGAAUCUACUUUUUCGUGGGGGAUAACGUAGGGAAACUUACGCUAAUACCGCAUACGACCUACGGGUGAAAGCAGGGGAUCUUCGGACCUUGCGCGAUUGAAUGAGCCGAUGUCGGAUUAGCUAGUUGGCGGGGUAAAGGCCCACCAAGGCGACGAUCCGUAUCUGGUCUGAGAGGAUGAUCAGCCACACUGGAACUGAGACACGGUCCAGACUCCUACGGGAGGCAGCAGUGGGGAAUAUUGGACAAUGGGCGCAAGCCUGAUCCAGCCAUACCGCGUGGGUGAAGAAGGCCUUCGGGUUGUAAAGCCCUUUUGUUGGGAAAGAAAAGCAGCAGGUUAAUACCCCGCUGUUCUGACGGUACCCAAAGAAUAAGCACCGGCUAACUUCGUG